CGGGACGGGUGAGUAAUGCUUGGGAAUCUGGCUUAUGGAGGGGGAUAACUACGGGAAACUGUAGCUAAUACCGCGUAGUAUCGGAAGAUGAAAGUGCGGGACCGUAAGGCCGCAUGCCAUGGGAUGAGCCCAAGUGGGAUUAGGUAGUUGGUGGGGUAAAGACCUACCAAGCCUGCGAUCUCUAGCUGGUCUGAGAGGAUGGCCAGCCACACUGGAACUGAGACACGGUCCAG
rnacentral:rRNA from 1 species